rnacentral:lncRNA from 1 species
GCUUAUUUCGUCGUCAUUGAUAGCACCCUUAACAAGCUGACAGCGGUAUAUAUCUACUGCAGUCGUCAAAAGAUCAAGUAAAAUGCAAAUCGGUGGUUGUACUAUACUGCUUUAGUGGCUGGGUUUUGAAAUCAAUAUGACUAAUCAUCAAAAACAGUGGCCGGGGUUUUUUUUANUUUUUGAAAUCAAUAUGACUAAUCAUCAAAAACAGUGGCCGGUGUUUUUUUUAGCUAAAUAACAGCAACCAAAGUUUUCUUCUUCUAUCUUCCCAAAAAAGGUGAAUGACCACUGUUUUUAAGAUAGAUGUGAUGUCUAGCUGCCAAAGUUCUACAUUAGGUAGAAUCCGGACACCGAUAUUACGAUAGACUGUGGUCUGAUACAAUGUUAAGUGAUUAGUUUUCCUAAAAUCUCAGAAUUUUAGGAAAAGGCUUUUAUCAUCAUUAUAUUCAAACUAAAUUAUAUCCCUUAACCAAUUUUUGUUUUGUUUUCCUCUUCUCAGCUG